AAGACGCCCAUGGCGGGUCACAUGGCGGGACCAUUAAGAACAUGUGACAUAAACAAAAGGUCGUGCAGAAGGUAGAAAAACGCCAGCGCGGGCGGCACUAAUUAUGUUGAACUCUUGUUAAUUUUCGUGGAAAUCUGCGAUGUGCGGCUUAAAGUGAACAAUGGACAAUGUUUCUCAACUGUUUAGCUUCUGUGCUAGUAACGAUGAACGCCCUGCCGCAGUCGUGUUAUGCUCGACGUGGUCAACCUCCAAAACGCUCGUUACCACGUUCGUUUAGCAGCCAAGUUCGUCGUCUUCAGCGCACGCAUCUACCGUGUUCAAUGAACUCUGGGUGUCUGCUACAGAUUUCGCUGCGUCUAUGGGAAGCCAGGAGACGAGUCUGUGGUACUUGGGACGUAUGCAGCAUGUGAGCCACGCCCAUCGGUGUGAUCAAGUCAAUGUAAGUUCCGUGGGGUCGCCCUAUUGAGGUGAGUGCAUUCACAAACAAAAGUUGGAAGCAGAGACUUUUAAGCUUGUCGAGCACCAUUUUAAGCUUAUCAAGCACUGUUGCGAGUGUAGCAUUUACAACAAGUUCAUUAAGAAACUUCAGCUUGCCCAUCGUCAUGCUCAUGAGGAGAUUUUUCCUCACAAGGUUUUCCUUGCACAAUUCACACAGCUUCUUUAGUGCUGUGUGAUCACAGUAACCUUUAAUAGAUAUUUAUUUUACUACUGCUUUUAGGCCCGUAUACAGCCACAUUACAUUGUUAUAGCCAACCAGGAUGCUAUUUGUCAUUAACUGCAUCAUUGACUGCAUUACAACAUUGCUUGGCACUCUGUGCUCAUGAUUGGCUCUUGCACCAUAAAACACCACAUAUCAUCAUAAC